rnacentral:RNase_P_RNA from 1 species
CGAGUUGGCCAAACGAUCGCGGGCAACAGGCCGAAAGGUGUUGCAUGAGGAAAGUCCGGGCUGCAUAGAGCAGGGUGCUGGAUAACGUCCAGUGAGGGCAACCUUAAGGAAAGUGCCACAGAAAAGAAACCGCCCCAGCUCGGGGUAAGGAUGAAACGGUGCGGCAAGAGCGCACCAGAAGUCAGGUGACUGACUUGCUUGGUAAACCCCACCCGCAGCAAGACCGAAUAGGGGAAGGAUGAGGUGGCUCGCUGACUUCCCGGGUAGGUCGCUUGAGGUGUGCGGCAACGUGCAUCCUAGAUAGAUGAUCGUUCACGACAGAACCCGGCUUAUGGUCAACUCGUGAA